rnacentral:rRNA from 1 species
GCCUGAGAUAUGCAAGUCGAGCGAAGUUUGCGACUCCGCAAGGAGUUGCGAAUUCAGCGGCGGACGGCUGAGUAACACGUAGGAAUCUCCCCCUGUCUGGAGGAUAGCCCACCGAAAGGUGGGGUAAUACUUCAUAGUCCCAGCUUUGCUGGGUAAAGGACGUAACUGUCCGGAGAGGGAUGAGCCUGCGUCCUAUCAGGUAGUUGGUGAGGUAAAAGCUCACCAAGCCAAUGACGGGUAGCUGGCCUGUGAGGGUGGUCAGCCAGAGGGGGACUGAGACACGGCCCCCACUCCUACGGGAGGCAGCAAUCAGGAAUAGUCGGCAAUGGGCGAAAGCCUGACCGCGCGACACCGCGUGUAGGAAGAAGCUCUAAUCGAGUGUAAACUACUGUGGUAGGGGAAGAAGCCCGCAAGGGUUGACGGUACCCUACUAGAAAGUGGCCGCUAACUGCGUGCCAGAAGCGUCGGUAAUACGUGGGCCACAAGCAUUAUCCGGUUUUAUUGGGCGUAAAGGGUCGUGUAGGCGGCAUAGCAAGUUAUCUUUUAAAUUUCACCGCCCAACGGGGAAAAUGGGGAUAAGACUGCUAAGCUAGAGUUUCCUUAAGGGAGAAUGGAACUGAGGGAGGAGUAGUGAAAUGCGUUGAUACCCUCGGGAACACCAGUGGCGAAGGCGAUUCUCUGGAAGGAAACUGACGCUGAGACACGAAAGCUAGGGGAGCGAAGCAGAUUAGAGACCUGCGUAGUCCUAGCCCUAAACGAAUGUCUGCUAGCUGCAUCUUUUCAACAGCACUGAAAGUUAUAUAACUUUUAUAAUCUUUAUAAAAUUUAUAAAGAUUAUACUUUCAGUGUUGUUGAUUAGGUGUGGCGAAGGUAACCCGUUAAGCAGACCGCCUGGGGAGUACGGUCGCAAGGCUAAAACUCAAAGGAAUUGGCGGGGAGGCACACAACCAGUGGAACAUGUGGUUCAAUUCGAUACGAAACGAGCACCUCACCAGGGCUUGACAUCCUAUGGAAAUCCCGAUGAAAGUCGGGACCUCCGCAAGGACCGUAGGACAGGUGCUGCAUGGCUGUCGUCAGUUCGUUCCGUGAGGAGUGCCCUUAAGUGGGACAACGAACGCAACCCCCAUCUUGUGUUACAUCUGUCACAAGAGACUGCCCUGCCUUUGGCGGGGAGGAAGGAGGGGCAGACGUCAAGUCAGCAUGGUCCUUAUGCCCUGGGCGACACACAUGUUACAAUGAGUAUGACAACGGGCUUUGCCAGCGCGUAAGCGUGAGCCAAUCCCUGAAACAUACUCUCAGUAGGGAUUGAGGUCUGAAACCCGACCUCAUGAACGCGGAAUUGGUAGUAAUCGCGGAUCAGUACGCCGCGGUGAUACGUUCUUGCCUCUUGCACAC